rnacentral:pre_miRNA from 2 species
CAAGUACUGGUCUCGGCCGAUUGAGGAGAGCACCACAGUGGUCACCACGCAGUCCGCUGAGGUUGGACCUGC